GACGAACGCUGGCGGCGUGCUUAACACAUGCAAGUCGAACGGAAAGGCCCUGCUUUUGUGGGGUGCUCGAGUGGCGAACGGGUGAGUAACACGUUAGUAACCUGCCCUUGACUUUGGGAUAACUUCAUGAAACUGGGGCUAAUACCGGAUAGGAGCUCCUGCUGCAUGGUGGGGGUUGGAAAGUUUCGGCGGUUGGGGAUGGACUCGCGGCUUAUCAGCUUGUUGGUGGGGUAGUGGCUUACCAAGGCUUUGACGGGUAGCCGGCCUGAGAGGGUGACCGGCCACAUUGGGACUGAGAUACGGCCCAGACUCCUACGGGAGGCAGCAGUGGGGAAUAUUGCACAAUGGGCGGAAGCCGGAUGCAGCAACGCCGCGUGCGGGAUGACGGCCUGCGGGUUGUAAACCGCUUUCGCCUGUGACGAAGCGUGAGUGACGGUAAUGGGUAAAGAAGCACCGGCUAACUACGUG
rnacentral:rRNA from 1 species